rnacentral:rRNA from 1 species
UACGAAGGGGGCUAGCGUUGUUCGGAAUUACUGGGCGUAAAGCGCGCGCAGGCGGCCAUUCAAGUCAGGGGUGAAAGCCCAGAGCUCAACUCUGGAACUGCCCUUGAAACUGUAUGGCUUGAGUAUGAGAGAGGUGAGUGGAAUUCCCAGUGUAGAGGUGAAAUUCGUAGAUAUUGGGAAGAACACCGGUGGCGAAGGCGGCGACCUGGUCCUUGACUGACGCUGAGGCGCGAAAGCGUGGGGAGCAAACAGG